rnacentral:ncRNA from 1 species
GUAUAAGCAAUGAGCAAGAGAGUAGAUUAAGGUGACUAUUCAGAGAGAAGACGCAUGGCUGAGACGUUUUUAAGUUUCUUGAUCGAAAGUAACUUGUGAGCUGUCAGACUGAACAAGUAGGUCUGACCGGAGUGACAUCCGUUAAAGAUUGUUAUUAAGAGGGGCUUGAACGCCCAAUUUAGGUGGUACCGCGAAGCAGCACUUCGUCCUAGUG